UUUUGUCAAAACUGUAUUGUUUUAAUCUUUCUGAGCGAAAGAUUUUCACAGUAUCAAAAGUGAAUAAAAAAAAGAUCAAAAGCCAACAUACACUCAGCUAUAACUGGUAUAUUAUAAAUCUACAUUCCAAAACAUUAAGAUAGCAUCUAGUUGAGUAUAGCUUGGAAAGCAUCAGAUAUUGUACGGACAAAACUUCGGCAGAAUUUAAGGACUAUACACCUAAAUGACAUAUUCCUCAUCAAUCAAGGCUGAUCCUCAAAAACGUAUCAUUUUGGAGUCUGUCCUCAUAAAAGAGCAGAAUAACAAGCAUGAAAGCAAGAUGUACGAGAUGCAGGACACCACGGACGUCAAUGGGCUGUGGGAGGAAAAAAAGGUAGCAUUGUUUUAGCAUUGGUUUAUACAGUACCAACCCCCAAACAUGUUUCUUACAAUCCAACAAUGUCUUGGAAACCCUAAAGUGAUGGUGUACUCCCCAAACAAAAAAGGUCUUCUCCCUAGUGUAUCUGCGUCCCUUAGAAUGAACGUGUAGAAUAAUGGGUGGAUGUACUUUGCACUAUUCUCUAUGAAUUGACCGGAAAGUUAAGAAUGUGUUGGAUUUUAAGGAAGGAUAUUAUAGGGGUAUCCUUUCUUAGAAUCAAACAUCAUGCAGAGUAAUGUCCAAAAUGUGAUGCAGGAGCAUUCAUUCCAUAGAUCAUGCAUGACAAUCUAAAUGAAACUCAUCACAUUGAACAUAUGAGGCCAUUGAUUUACGCUACAUGGCCCAUUUAAGUGUUUAUAUUACUUUUGUCGGUGCCAACAUGGCAAAUGUGUUUCCAGGAGGAGCAAACAUUUCACUUUACUUAAAAAUAAAAAAAAGGAGUACAUGUAUUAGGCAAGUGUCAUGUCCCAUCCUAUUGUGAGUGAUACAUUUUCAAUUGGAGAGAAUACAUGGUGUUGGGCUUGAGAGGGAGACAUUAAGCGGGCAAGAUUGGCACACAGAGCUAUAACCCUCAUCAGACCAGAAAGCUAGCACCCCCGCACAUAACAGGAGAAUAGUUUAUCCCUUUCAUGCGAAGUAGCCUACUUUCAUGAAGAAACAUUGUUUAAAUUAAUGUAAUUUCUUUAUGAAAGUAGUCUGUGAUCAAGAUCGAGCAGGAUAUAUGCUACAAAACUGCAACACAAUAUAAAAUCGAAGAGCAAUACAGUACUUUUAGAGCACCAUGUUAAAAGUUCCCAAGAUAAAAACUUUUGUGAUAAAAACAUAUUUAUUUCAUGAAACGGGAAGUGUUUACAUUACUACAUAAUGAAGCGCAUGGAUGCAGUAGAUUAAACAGGUUUUUCUUUUCUCAUUUUGCACCUCUCACUUGGUGAACAAUGCAAAGAUAUCAAAGGGCAAGCUUGGCCUCGCGAACCGUCCCUCGCUGAUGAGUCUUUUAAGUAUUUCAGUCUUCUGAAUGGAAAAGAGACAAUUGUAACAGGGUCCCUUGGCUUGGAGCGGAGAAGAGAAACAGGAAUGAAAGCAGGGCCUCGGGCCAAACGGGGGAGCGCGUUUAAGGAGUUUUUUUAUCUGGCACUUUUCCAAGUUAUUGAGCUGUGUUUGAAUGAACCUUUUUGAGGGUGAAGUUGGACCAGUUCACUGCGACCUUCUGGCGGUUUUGCUUUGCAGAAUCCAGGCAAAAUCUAGUAUAACAGGAAAGGGAGACGGCAAACAACAAUUAGUAAUUGGGGUGAUAGUAGUCUAUAGAAAAGGGGAUAAAUAUAUAGAUAGAUGUUCUUAAGUUGAUAAACAGAAUCACAAACCUUUUGAAGUAUUCCACCUCCCUGUCGAUCUCAUCCAUUUCGGUUGGAUCGACGUCUUUUGGAAGAAAUACAUCCUCUGGAAAAUGAUAAAAAACAUUUUUUAAUGCAAUAUCUUCUACAUUUCCGACCAAGUUAGGAUAUAUCGGUGGAAGGAAAGAACAUUUACCAAUUGCACUGCUGGACUUUUCUCCCUUGUUUUUGUUCUUCUUGUUUCUACCCUUCGAUUGCUGCUGCUGCUGCUGCUGCUGCUGCUGCUGCUGCUGCUGCUGCUGCGCAUUUUGGUGGGUCCCGGGAUGGGUCCUGCCAUCUGAAUCCAGCUCAGAUCGACCUCCCCGCACCUCCGUGUCAGCUUUCGCCCGCUGUGCAUUGGGGAGGCCGCCGGCGGCUCCGUUGGCCGCCUGUCUGCUCGGCCUGCCCUCCUCGGCCCUCCGUGGGCCGCUCCGCUGGCUCUCUGCCAACUGCUGGGGCUGCUGUCGGCUGCCCGCUUUGGAGCCGCCAGAACUCGUCUCGGCCACCCGGGACUCGUUGCUCUUCUGCGUCUCGCCGGAGGGGAGGGCUUUGGUGGGUCUGGUUGAACUCUGCUCAGUGGCGGCCUGCUCCUGCCUCUGCUGCUGCUGCUGCUGCUGCUUCCGGUUCUUCUUCGACUUGGCAGCACCGGCUGCAUUGUUCCUAGUCUCGGAAUAGUCCUCCUUCGAUUUCGCCGUGGCCUGGGGCAGACCUUGCGCAUGGCUUUCAGACACAGCGGCGGCGGCGGCGGCAGCAGCGCCUCCUUCUGGAGAGUGAACCCGGCUGUGCUUGGAAAGGUUAGGAGGAGUUUGCAACCUCUGGACGUCUUUUUGCCCCGCGGCGCCUUCUGCGGUGGUGGACGACAAGACGGCGCCAGCGUCCUCCCACCCAUUGACCAGGUCCAGGUGGUUCUUAAAGGUCUAUCUGCUGAAUGUCCGUCGAACCGUUAAGGUGAGACAGUAAGUGGUUGCCCUCCAAGGUGGCCGCCUUCUUUGGGAAGUCGUUGACAUCUAGGUUCAGGUCGUACAUGCUAAAGGAGGCUCUGAUCGAGUCCUUGAUGGUGUUCUUGAUUUCCUCCAGCCGACUGGUAAGGAAGCUGUUCACCCGCUCCAACUCCAGCUGAGGCCAGUCCAGCAAUCGGCCCGCCUCCGAUCCGUCGGCCAUCGUCUCGUCGGCCGGCUCGUCCGGACCGGACUGGGGAUCGCCACUUGAGGCCUCCAUACCGCCACACUGAGCCUUCUCCUGCCACACACAAAUAACAUUGACAAAACAUUAUUUUCUGACGACCCUGGGUUGUCGAUGGAGUUCGGUGCGAUCAAUGUUAUCCUCUCACCUUCUUCUUCUGUUUGUGGCGGGCCCGUUUGGCAGCCUUGGCACUGUUGACGGGUUUGGGCUCGGAGCUGUUGAUGAAGUCCAGCAACUCGUCCACGUCCCGGUUGUCGAUGGCGCUGGCCACCGUCAGGUCUAGGUCCUGGCGCAGAGGGGGCUCCUCUUUGCGCCUGGUCAGGCGGGAGCGGAGCUUCUCUCGGAUCUCGGCGUAGUUACGGCUCGUCGGGGCCGCUGGAGGCUGUAAACGAACAGGGGAUUUCGUUCCGUUACCGCUUGCCAUCUUUAAUGCGAUUUCAGCUCUGUAUCGUUACAAAAACCUUGAGCACUAUAAACCGGCGGAAAAC
ensembl:lncRNA